GACGCCGCGUGGGUGAAGAAGGCGGAAACGUUGUAAAGCCCUUUUCUGCGUGAGGAAUAAGCGUGGGAGGAAAUGCCCGCGUGAUGACGUUAGCGCAGGAAUAAGCCCCGGCUAAUUACGUGCCAGCAGCCGCGGUAACACGUAUGGGGCGAGCGUUGUUCGGAAUUAUUGGGCGUAAAGGGCGCGUAGGCGGUCUGGCAAGCUUGGUGUGUAAGCCCACAGCUCAACUGUGGAGACGCGCUGAGAACUGCUUGACUUGAGUCCUGGAGGGGAAGCUGGAAUUCCUGGUGUAGGGGUGAAAUCUGUAGAUAUCAGGAAGAACAUCAUGGCGAAGGCGAGCUUCUGGCCAAGGACUGACGCUGAGGCGCGAAAGCGUGGGGAGCGAACAGGAUUAGAUACCCUGGUAGUCCACGCCGUAAACGAUGUGCACUAGGUGUCGGGCCAUGGAGGUUCGGUGCCGUAGUUAACGCGAUAAGUGCACCGCCUGGGGAGUAUGCCGGCAACGGUGAAACUCAAAGGAAUUGACGGGGGCCCGCACAAGCGGUGGAGCAUGUGGUUUAAUUCGAUGAUACGCGAGGAACCUUACCAGGGCUUGACAUAUACCGGACUGCGGUAGCGAUAUCGCAUCCCUUCGGGGCUGGUAUACAGGUGCUGCAUGGCUGUCGUCAGCUCGUGCCGUGAGGUGUUGAGUUAAGUCCCGCAACGAGCGCAACCCCUGCUGUCUGUUGCCAUCAUUAAGUUGGGGACUCAGACGGAACUGCCGGUGACAAACCGGAGGAAGGUGGGGACGACGUCAAGUCAUCAUGGCCCUUAUGUCCUGGGCUACACACGUGCUACAAUGGCCGGUACAGAGUGAAGCGACACCGCGAGGUAGAGCAAAUCGCCGAAAGCCGGUCUCAGUUCGGAUUGGAGUCUGAAACUCGACUCCAUGAAGGUGGAAUCGCUAGUAAUCGCGCAUCAGCAUGGCGCGGUGAAUACGUUCCCGGGCCUUGUACACACCGCCCGUCACACCACCCGAGUUGGGGGUACCCGAAGUCGCUUGUCUAACCUGCAAAG
rnacentral:rRNA from 1 species